rnacentral:lncRNA from 1 species
CUAGCAACGGCUGCCCAACAAUCACUUGGCUGAAGAGAGUCGGUAGCAAACAUGCUGUGCUGCUUUUCCAGGCCUCAAGGCCGCAGCCUCAAGACCCCACACGGGAAAAGCACUUGGGAAUGGGUGAGAGGAUGGAUCACUGGGUCCAGACACUCCAGGCCACUCCAGGAACCACCCAGUCCUCAGGAGCAUCCCAGGGCAGGUCUCCCUGGACAGCCUCCUCAUCUAUAGGCCCUCUGUCCCGGAACCCAGAAGGGCCUGCAUUUCCUCCCCACUGGAGGGGAUGGAGGAAAGAUGUGGAUUCACAGCAGUGCAAAGGGAGUCCAGAGGAGGCACACAUAUUGGGCAACACGGCACUACAUACCCUAAAGCCUGAGGAGAGGCAGGGAAGCACAGACGCCUACUGUCCCUCACUUCUCAGAUAGUUAUGGAGCAGCAGCCCUGUGCCUUUGAGUACAAUCACACAGCAGAGACAACACUCUG